UAACUGCAAUUUACUGAAUUACUUCCAAAUAAGGUAUUGAUCCCAAUGUUCACUUCUAAUGGAAACGAAAGAUUUAUUACUGACAUUGGGAUCAAUAGCAUCACAAACAGAAAGAUGUUCUUCACUAACAAGAAACAAGGGAGAAAGGAAUGUCCGGGUAAUUCAGCAUCAGAGACCAUUUUAACAAUUAUUGAAGGUGAUGGCUUCAUCAGGAAAAAAUAGACAAGCAUCUUUCAUCACAUUAUUAAAAAAAAAUGUAUUUGAUCAAUACCAUAUUGGAGUUCAGGAAAAAAAGGUCACAAAUACUGACAAUGAUCCCCUACUAAAAAAAGAAAGAGAAAUAAAGUUGACAGUUACUGGAAAAACACUAUGUACAUAAACGAGGGACACAGACUCGUGUGUGUCAUCUCUGCUACCAUACUGCGCUUUGUUUAUUCAAUUAUCAACUACGGGACAAAUCAGGUCUGGGUUAACCGUUCUAGUGGCUUGCGUCUUUGAAUUGUUUAAAACUAAAACGCUCUUUCUUGUGGAGCGAUCCUUAAAACGUUCCCAGUGGUCUGUAUUCAAACGGGAAAGUGUCCUGAAAAUGACCA